UCUCCCCAACAAUGCAGCUUUUAAUGGAGCGGUGAGCGCUGUGAUAUGGAAGCCGUGCAACACCACACAAGGUUGUCCGGGGACCGUGCUCGUUAAAAUUUAACCUUGGGAGGUCCAACCGUUGGUCCAACCUCUCGACCGGUUUUUACCUGCGUUACUUGACAUCCUGAGCUGGUUUUACUGAGGUUUCCAUUCCACAAACCUGACAUACUGAGACGAUGGUUAGCCAAUAUCAGUAGAGACAAGAUUCAUCCUUCAAAGUAUCACCGGAUACGAAGUGAACAUUUUCUAAGUGUCGACUACAGACCAGGUUCCUGCUUUAAGAAGAACAAAGACA